AACUGUGGGAACUUUUACUUCACCGGGUUUCCUUCAGAACUCACACAGGUACGCGUGAGCAGUGAGCACUCAUACUUCGUGCGCACCUGGCGGUGUCUCUGAAGCUCAGCCUACAGGGCGUGGAAAAGCCCUGGAAUUGUUUUCGACGCUGGUUUCCCAACAUCGCCCAUACUUCUUCGGAUUUCCCUAACAAAGUGUACUGCCUCCCCGGCUUUUCGCAAGGAAUACUCUUUUUUCCCCCCUACUACCUUCACCGAUCCACUUGGAAGACGAAUUAUGUAAAGCUUUUACCACGAUCGCUCUCUGGCAGUUAUCGAACAGAAAUCUUGAUCUGCCAUAGCGAGUUGUUUCUCAGAAAGUGUUUCUGCAGCAGCACUCAAGAGGAUCAGAGGAAACAACAGGAGGAGGAGAGCAGAGAGAGGGGGAAAGUCAAAAGAGCAGACUCCUGUGUGAAAGCACAGUCCGUGCUGCUUCUGUACCACACAUGGACUACAUACACACUGCAAACAGAGUAUGUGUGAACCUCACAUACAGCUCACAAAAUCAGGCUUGUGCUGUGUAAGCUAUUGUGCAACAAUUUCACGAUUGUAAAAACAAAAAUACAAUGUAUGAUCAAACAUUUAGGUGAGAUAAAUAUAUAUUUUUGAAAAAAUGAAAUAUAAAAUAAAAAUAAAAUAAAUCCUCUCA
ensembl:lncRNA